AGCUUGCUCAAACCAUGUCCAUUACGUCAGUCUGUCCAACCUUCUCAUCCUCUGUCACCCACUUCUCCUGCCUGCAAUCUCGUCGGCUCUUCGAAUCAGGAGGGCAAAGUGUUGGAGCUUCAGCUUUGGCACCAGUCCUUCCAGCUGAAUGAAGGAGAGGAGGAGAGAGAAGAGAGGGAGCAUCGGGUCAUGAGUGAACACCUUGAGGGCAAUGGCAACGUGCCGUCAACAUUUGGACGCUGAGUCCCGAGGCCAGAUAGCUGGAUGGUACAUAUUUGGGGAAAAAUCAUAUGCUACUCAACUUCAGUAUCUUUUUUUUUAAAUUAAAACAAACCGCU
ensembl:lncRNA